AAAUACUCAUUCGCAUUCGUACUGUCGCACUU
rnacentral:sRNA from 1 species